UCCUUCACGUUUUGAUUUCCACUCAUUUUGCGAAGAAAUGAAGAGAAAUUGGUUAUAAUUUAAAAAAAAAAAAAGAGUAUAUAUUGUAAAUCACGUGACAUGCACAUUCAAUAUAGAUCUGAGAGAGCCCUAAUCCCCUUUUGUCUCCGACGAUAUCUCGAGAUUCUUUUCAUCUCAUCUAAUUUCAUGGUUGUUUGCUUUGGAUCUCCUUAAAUUGGAGGUGAUUGAUGAUGAUUGUCUUAGUCAAACCCGACAUCCGGUUUGUGUGUUGAUAUAAUCGUAGUUCAUCAAUAACAUCCCCCCUAUAAAGGUGUGUAAAGAGUUGUGCAAUUGAUCAUGAAUCUCAACACAAGAUCAAAUUUAAUGUUAAUAUUGUAAGUGGUCUUCUUGCACAAACUAUGUUGUUGCAGUUGUUUGUUUUGCAUCCUAAUGACCGUUCUUGCUUAAGUUCCGACUUGCUGUUAGUAGUAGUAGUAGGUUUUGUUUGGUCUAUGAUUAUUCUCCAAGUGGGAGUUUCGAAGACGCCAUGAGGAUGAGGACGGAUGAUGAUAACAACGGAUUAUUGAUGUUGUAUAUGGGUUGGGAUGCACGGCUACAAAUUGCGAUUGGGAGGUGGUUUAGACAGCUUGUAGAAACAUGGGAAGCUCGUGAGGCUCUUGAUAAGAGUCUUUUGCGACAAGAAAUGGAGGAAGAUGAGAUGUUGAUGGCUGUAUGGCACUUUGUCUCUCUCUGAUAUGCCUACUGAUCGCCCUUUCCAGCAAUGAACUUGUUCCGAUGCUCACCAACUCCAUAGUUUUUGAUACACAGCUGCCUGCGGCGCAAUUUGUAUUACCAUUACUCCUUACACUUUGUCUCUCUGAUAUGUAUUUUGUUCAGAGUUAUUGUUGUAUAUUUUGGAGGUUAUCAUGGAAGUUCAUUUUCAUUUUGAUAGUUUGAUGGUUUAAGGAAAAUGGAAGGUGAUGUGUAGUUUGAUGAGGUUGAUAGUUCGAAUGUAAUUGGUCGCAAAAGUUCAAGUUCGAAAUUGUAUUCGUGUUGUGCAUUUUGUUUUGUAUACAAUUAGCCAUGAGAGAUCAUUAUCAUGUGUGUCAAUAUUUGGUAUUGCAAUUGCAAUACGUAUUACUGUAGUAGUAUUGUA